UGGCUCGUAGCUCAAAGCCAAAGAGCGCCGGUCUCGCUGGCCGGAGGUUGGCGGUAGCGACAAAUCCUCCCGGGCCGA
rnacentral:tRNA from 1 species